GAGUUUGAUCAUGGCUCAGAUUGAACGCUGGCGGCAUGCCUUACACAUGCAAGUCGAACGGGCAGCACGGGAGCUUGCCCCUGGUGGCGAGUGGCGAACGGGUGAGUAAUGCAUCGGAACGUAUCCUGGAGUGGGGGAUAACGUAGCGAAAGUUACGCUAAUACCGCAUAUUCUGUGAGCAGGAAAGCGGGGGACCUUCGGGCCUCGCGCUCUUGGAGCGGCCGAUGUCGGAUUAGCUAGUUGGUGAGGUAAAGGCUCACCAAGGCGACGAUCCGUAGCAGGUCUGAGAGGAUGAUCUGCCACACUGGAACUGAGACACGGUCCAGACUCCUACGGGAGGCAGCAGUGGGGAAUUUUGGACAAUGGGGGCAACCCUGAUCCAGCCAUGCCGCGUGAGUGAAGAAGGCCU
rnacentral:rRNA from 1 species